rnacentral:rRNA from 1 species
UGGGGAAUAUUGGACAAUGGGCGCAAGCCUGAUCCAGCCAUGCCGCGUGAGUGAUGACGGCCUUAGGGUUGUAAAGCUCUUUUACCUGGGAAGAUAAUGACGGUACCAGGAGAAUAAGCCCCGGCUAACUUCGUGCCAGCAGCUGCGGUAAUACGAAGGGGGCUAGCGUUGUUCGGAAUCACUGGGCGUAAAGCGCACGUAGGCGGAUCUUUAAGUCAGGGGUGAAAUCCCAGAGCUCAACUCUGGAACUGCCUUUGAUACUGGGGAUCUCGAGUCCGGAAGAGGUAAGUGGAACUGCGAGUGUAGAGGUGAACUUCGUAGAUAUUCGCAAGAACACCAGUGGCGAAGGCGGCUUACUGGUCCGGUACUGACGCUGAGGUGCGAAAGCGUGGGGAGCAAACA